UAAGUAUGAGACCCCUUGUAAGCUUGCUUGCAAGGGGGUGAAGUACUUCAUGACCUGAAAAACAUGAGGAAUUAGUGGGGCAGGGGCCCCAUGGUUUCCGAAUGUUUUUUGGAUUGCGAGAGCGCUUGGCGCGUAGCAAUCCGUGUUAU
rnacentral:sRNA from 1 species